rnacentral:rRNA from 1 species
AUACGGAGGCUCCGAGCGUUAUCCGGAUUUAUUGGGUUUAAAGGGUGCGCAGGCGGCCAUUUAAGUCAGCGGUUAAAUCGUGGGGCUCAACCCCAUUCUGCCAUUGAUACUGGGUGGCUUGAUUGCGGUCGAGGUUGGCGGAAUUCGUUGUGUAGCGGGGAAAUGCAUAGAUAUGACGAAGAACACCGAUUGCGUAGGCAGCUGACCAGACCGCAAAUGACGCUCAUGCACGAAAGUGCGGGGAUCGAACAGGAUUAGAUACCCUGGUAGUCCGCACAGUAAACGAUGAAUACUUGUUUUCGGCGAUAUAAUGUCGGAGGCAAAGCGAAAGCGAUAAGUAUUCCACCUGGGGAGUACGCCGGCAACGGUGAAACUUAAAGGAAUUGACGGGG